rnacentral:rRNA from 1 species
UACGGAGGGUGCGAGCGUUAAUCGGAAUUACUGGGCGUAAAGCGUGCGUAGACGGUCGUGCAAGUCGGGUGUGAAAGCCCCAGGCUCAACCUGGGAAUUGCAUUCGAGACUGCUCGGCUAGGGUGCGGAAGAGGGAAGCGGAAUUUCCGGUGUAGCGGUGAAAUGCGUAGAUAUCGGAAGGAACACCAGUGGCGAAAGCGGCUUCCUGGUCCGACACCGACGUUCAGGCACGAAAGCGUGGGGAGCAAACAGG